rnacentral:lncRNA from 1 species
UUUUUUUUUUUUUUUGAGUUGGUAGUGCUCAAAAGUGGGCUUAAAAUAUUCAGUAAACCAUGUUGCAAACAAAUGUGUUGCCAUACAGACUUGUUUCUCUGAUAGAGCAUAGGCAGAGUAGAUUUAACAUCAUUCUUGAGGGCCCUAGGAUUCUCAGAAUGGUAAAUGAACGUUGGUUUUAAAAGAAAGUUGUCAGUUGCAUUAGCCCCUAAUAAGAGACUCAACCUAUACUUCGAAGCUUUGAAUACAGGCACUGACUUCUCCUCUCUAGAUGUGAAAGGCCUAGGUAGCAUCUUCUUCCAAAUGGAGCCUGUUUCAUCUACAUCGGAAAUCUGUUGUUUAGCAUAGCCCCCUUAGGAAUUCUCUUAGCUAGGAUCUUCUCAAUUGCUUGUUGCAGCUUCUAAAUCAGCAUUUGCUACUUCACCUUCGCUGUUAUGUUAUGGAGACAGCUUCUCUCCUUAAAACUCAUGAACUAAUCUCUGCUAGUUUCAGACUUUUCUUCUGCAGCUUCCUCACCUCUCAGCCUGCAGAGAACUGAAGAGAGUUAAGGCCUUGCCCUGAAUUAGGCUUUGGCUUAAGGGAAGGUUGUGGCUGGUUUAAUCUUCAUUCCAGAACACUAGAACUUUCUCCAUAUGAGCAAUAAGGCUGUUUUCCUUUCUUCUCAUUCAUGUGUUCACUGGAGCAGCACUUUUAAUUUCCUCCAAGAACUUGUCCUUUGCAUUCACACAACCUGACUGUUUGGCACAAGAGGCCUAGCUCUCAGCCCAUCUCAGCUUUCAACAUUCCUUCCUCACAAGCUUCAUCUUUUCUAGUUUUUGACUUAAAGUGAGAGAUGUGCAGCUCUUCCCUUCACUUGAGCACUUAGAGGCCAUUGCAGGGCCUAUUGAAGUUAGGCCUCUUACUCACUGGCCUAACUUCAAUACUGUUGUGUCUCAGAGACUAGAGAGUUCUGAGGAGAUGGAGUGGGGAACAGCCAGUUAGUGGAACAGUCAGGACACAUAUAAUAUUUAUUGAUUAAUAGUUAUAAUAGUAACAUCUAAGACCACUGAUCACAGAUCACCAUAAGAAAGAUACUAAUAAUAAAAAGUUUGAAAUAUUGCAAGAAGUACCAAAAUGUAAUGCGGUGACAUAAAGUAUCGAAGGCUGUUGGAAAACUGGUGCCGAUAGCCUUGCUCAACACAAAUUUGCCACAAACCUUCAAUUUGUAAAAAAAAAAAAAAAGAAGAAGUAUCUGGGAAGCACAAAAAGGGGAGAAUAAUAAUAAUAAUAAUAAUAAUAAUAAUAAUAGUAAUAAGGUAUGCCUGUAUUAAAAGAAAGGCCAAAGAGAAAACUUUGGCCUGGCUUAAACAUUGACUUGGAAAUUCAUUUCAUUAGAGACAUUUAUUAAAAAGCAGUAUUUAGAAGAAGAAGAUUCAUUUCUUUAACAUUAUUCUAUUUUGUAUAGGAAUCCUGGCAUGAAUUGCAACUGAAUAGCUUCCCCUGGCUCAACAGGAUUCAUGCUUGGCAGGAUACUUUACAUUAUUCUUAGGGUAUGCAACAACAGAUUAGGCUAACCAUGUGAAAUUACUAAUAUUCAACUGUUUUGACCUACAAAAGCAGCAGUUUCAUAUGGUCCAACUUAACAGAAUGCUGUUUGCUGAGAAACAGAAUAAGACACUAUUAGUUGAAUUACUUGAAAACUUGACCAUGAAACUAACCCUGUGGACUUUCCCCAUUUCCUUAGACAUAUAGAAGGUCAAAUUCAAAAUUUGAUAGAGAAAGUGCACUGAAAUUAACAGAAGUUACAUAUUUAGUGUAAUAUUGCCGAAAGAGAGAUCCUCUUUAUCUGGCUUUGUUGCUCGUAAACAUAAAACCCCUGUUGCAGAGUUGACUGCCUUUAGUUGUUGAAAACUAGUAAGAAUAAUAAUCCUCCUUCUCUGUCUUGGUGCCAUGUGAGUAUGGCUCGGGUGUGUGGGGUGAUAAAUACAGCCACACACAGCUAGACGCAGAGCUGUCUCAUUAGCAAAUCUGAAGUCUAGUCUCUCUGACUUUGCACAAGAAUUUCUGUAAUCACCACUUAGAAGCUUUGCCAAAGACAAUUCGCGA